CGCAGCCGCGGUAAUUCCAGCCCCAAUAGCGUAUAUUAAAGUUGUUGCAGUUAAAAAGCUCGUAGUUGAAUUUCGGGGUCAGUAGGUUGGUCGUGCCACCGGUACGUACUGGUCUCACUGAUUCCUCCUUCCUGAAGAACCGUAAUGCCAUUAAUUUGGUGUUGCGGGGAAACGGGACUGUUACUUUGAAAAAAUUAGAGUGUUUAAAGCAGGCUAACGCUUGAAUACAUUAGCAUGGAAUAAUGAAAUAGGACGAUCGAUCCUAUUUUGUUGGUUUCUAGGAUUGACGUAAUGAUUAAUAGGGAUAGUUGGGGGCACUAGUAUUCAAUUGUCAGAGGUGAAAUUCUUGGAUUUAUUGAAGACUAACUAAUGCGAAAGCAUUUGCCAAGGAUGUUUUCAUUAAUCAAGAACGAGAGUUAGGGGAUCGAAGACGAUCAGAUACCGUCGUAGUCUUAACCAUAAACUAUGCCGACUAGGGAUCGGAUGAUGUAAUUUAUAAUGACUCAUUCGGCGCCUUACG
rnacentral:rRNA from 1 species